rnacentral:rRNA from 3 species
UCUCGGCUCUCGCAUCGAUGAAGAACGUAGCGAAAUGCGAUACUUGGUGUGAAUUGCAGAAUCCCGUGAACCAUCGAGUCUUUGAACGCAAGUUGCGCCCGAAGCCAUUAGGCCGAGGGCACGUCUGCCUGGGCGUCACGCAUCGCGUCGCCCCCGCACAC